rnacentral:snRNA from 1 species
CUGCUUGCUUUGGCAGCACGUGUACUAAAAUUGGAAUGAUACAGACAAGGUUAACAUGGGCCCUGAUAAAUUAAAAAACAUUGAAAAACAAAGCAACAAU